rnacentral:rRNA from 1 species
CCUACGGGCGGCAGCAGUGAGGAAUAUUGGUCAAUGGGCGCAAGCCUGAACCAGCCAAGUAGCGUGAAGGAUGACUGCCCUAUGGGUUGUAAACUUCUUUUAUAAGGGAAUAAAGUGAGGCAAGUGUACUUUUUUGCAUGUACUUUAUGAAUAAGGAUAGGCUAACUCCGUGCCAGCAGCCGCGGUAAUACGGAGGAUCCGAGCGUUAGCCGGAUUUAUUGGGUUUAAAGGGAGCGUUGGUGGGUUGUUAAGUCAGUUGUGAAAGUUUGCGGCUCAACCGGAAAAUUGCAGUGGAUACUGGCAUUCUUGAGUACAGUAGAGGUAGGCGGAAUUCGUGGUGUAGCGGUGAAAUGCUUAGAUAUCACGAAGAACUCCGAUUGCGAAGGCAGCCUGCUAAACUGUCACUGACGCUGAGGCUCGAAAGUGUGGGUAUCAAACAGGAUUAGAUACCCGAGUAGUC